GAUGAACGCUGGCGGCGUGCCUAAUACAUGCAAGUCGAGCGAACAGACGAGGAGCUUGCUCCUCUGACGUUAGCGGCGGACGGGUGAGUAACACGUGGAUAACCUACCUAUAAGACUGGGAUAACUUCGGGAAACCGGAGCUAAUACCGGAUAAUAUAUUGAACCGCAUGGUUCAAUAGUGAAAGACGGUUUUGCUGUCACUUAUAGAUGGAUCCGCGCCGCAUUAGCUAGUUGGUAAGGUAACGGCUUACCAAGGCAACGAUGCGUAGCCGACCUGAGAGGGUUGUCGGCCACACUGGAACUUAAACACGGUCCAGACUCCUACGGGAAGCAGCAGUAGGGAAUCUUCCGCAAUGGGCCAAAGCCUGACGGGGCAACGCCGCGUGAAGGAUGAAAGUCUUCGGAUCGUAAAACUCUGUUAUUAGGGAAGAACAAAUGUGUAAGUAACUAUGCACGUCUUGACGGUACCUAAUCAGAAAGCCACGGGUAACUUCGUU
rnacentral:rRNA from 1 species